rnacentral:rRNA from 1 species
AGUGAACGCUGGCGGUAGGCCUAACACAUGCAAGUCGAACGGCAGCACAGUAAGAGCUUGCUCUUACGGGUGGCGAGUGGCGGACGGGUGAGGAAUACAUCGGAAUCUACUUUUUCGUGGGGGAUAACGUAGGGAAAUUUACGCUAAUACCGCAUACGACCUACGGGUGAAAGCAGGGGAUCUUCGGACCUUGCGCGAUUGAAUGAGCCGAUGUCGGAUUAGCUAGUUGGCGGGGUAAAGGCCCACCAAGGCGACGAUCCGUAGCUGGUCUGAGAGGAUGAUCAGCCACACUGGAACUGAGACACGGUCCAGACUCCUACGGGAGGCAGAAGUGGGGAAUAUUGGACAAUGGGCGCAAGCCUGAUCCAGCCAUACCGCGUGGGUGAAGAAGGCCUUCGGGUUGUAAAGCCCUUUUGUUGGGAAAGAAAAGCAGCAGGUUAAUACCCCGCUGUUCUGACGGUACCCAAAGAAUAAGCACCGGCUAACUUCGUG